GACGAACGCUGGCGGCGUGCCUAAUACAUGCAAGUAGGACGCAGUUGCGAACGGGUGAGUAACGCGUAGGUAACUGCCUAUUAGAGGGGGAUAACUAUUGGAAACGAUAGCUAAUACCGCAUACUAGUAGCUGGACCUGCGUUGUAUUAUCUAGUAGGGAGGGUAAUGGCCUACCUAGGCGACGAUACAUAGCCGACCUGAGAUGGUGAUCGGCCAAACUGGGACGGAGACACGGCCCAGACUCCUACGGGAGGCAGCAGUAGGGAAUCUUCGGCAAUGGGGGGAACGCUGACCGAGCAACGCCGCGUGAUUGAAGAAGGUUUUCGGAUCGUAAAGCUCUGUUGUGAAGGAAGCGGUACUUAACCAGAAAGGGACGGCUAACUACGUGCCAGCAGCCGCGGUAAUUC
rnacentral:rRNA from 1 species